rnacentral:rRNA from 1 species
GUGCCAGCAGCCGCGGUAAUACGGGGGGGGCGAGCGUUGUCCGGAAUCACUGGGCGUAAAGGGCGCGUAGGCGGGAUGGUAAGUCGGCGGUGAAAAUCCCCGGCUCAACCGGGGACCUGCCGCCGAAACUGCCAUUCUUGAGUGCGGGAGAGGGAGGUGGAAUUCCUGGUGUAGCGGUGAAAUGCGUAGAUAUCAGGAAGAACACCGGUAGCGAAGGCGGCCUCCUGGCCCGUCACUGACGCUGAGGCGCGAAAGCGUGGGGAGCGAACAGGAUUAGAUACCCUGGUAGUCCACGCCGUAAACGAUGGGUGCUAGGUGUUGGCCCGUUGGGGUCAGUGCCGAAGCUAACGCAUUAAGCACCCCGCCUGGGGAGUACGGCCGCAAGGCUGAAACUUAAAGGAAUUGACGGGG